CAGCAGCCGCGGUAAUACGAAGGGGGCUAGCGUUGCUCGGAAUGACUGGGCGUAAAGGGCGCGUAGGCGGCGGCCAAAGUCAGGCGUGAAAUUCCCGGGCUCAACCUGGGGGCUGCGUUUGAUACUUGGUUGCUUGAGUGGGGAAGAGGGUCGUGGAAUUCCCAGUGUAGAGGUGAAAUUCGUAGAUAUUGGGAAGAACACCGGUGGCGAAGGCGGCGACCUGGUCCUUUACUGACGCUGAGGCGCAAAAGCGUGGGGAGCAAACAGGAUUAGAUACCCCUGUAGUCCCUGUCUCUUAUAC
rnacentral:rRNA from 1 species